UCAGGGAAAAAUAUCGGUCAUCAUCCUUUUCUGAAUGCACUGCGUUGAACGGAAAUACACCUAGGAACUUCUUCAGUAGCACCAAUGAGAUGCCUUGAUCCGACAUAGAUGCAUAUGAUUCUGAAUAACCCUUUUCAGUCUCAUAAACGAAAAAUCUGACUAUAAGGUUGAUGCUCUGAAGUAUGUUAUGUAAGAAAUCAAAUGUUUGUGCAUCCAAUUGUGGCGUACUAUGAAUUAAUGGAAUGAGGUCUUGGAAGCAAUUGACUAAAACUG
rnacentral:misc_RNA from 1 species